rnacentral:snoRNA from 1 species
AUUUACAUAAUAAUAUCCUUACUGGUAUGAUAAACAAACCUGUUGAGGUAAAUCAGCAACAUGAUUUAAAUAUUGCUGUCAGUCACCUUCAAACAAGU